GGUGAGAUGGCCGAGUUGGUUAUGGCGCCAGGUUAAGGUUACCUUAACACUAAUUCCUGGUCACGAAAGUGGCGUGGGGUAUGUAUUACAUUACACCUUCAUGAGACUCUUGCAGCUAACCGUCGCUAGUUCGAGUCCCACUCUCAUCA